rnacentral:rRNA from 1 species
CCUACGGGAGGCAGCAGUGGGGAAUUUUGGACAAUGGGCGCAAGCCUGAUCCAGCCAUGCCGCGUGUCUGAAGAAGGCCUUCGGGUUGUAAAGGACUUUUGUCAGGGAAGAAAAGGGCGGGGUUAAUACCCCUGUCUGAUGACGGUACCUGAAGAAUAAGCACCGGCUAACUACGUGCCAGCAGCCGCGGUAAUACGUAGGGUGCGAGCGUUAAUCGGAAUUACUGGGCGUAAAGCGAGCGCAGACGGUUACUUAAGCAGGAUGUGAAAUCCCCGGGCUCAACCUGGGAACUGCGUUCUGAACUGGGUGACUAGAGUGUGUCAGAGGGAGGUAGAAUUCCACGUGUAGCAGUGAAAUGCGUAGAGAUGUGGAGGAAUACCGAUGGCGAAGGCAGCCUCCUGGGAUAACACUGACGUUCAUGCUCGAAAGCGUGGGUAGCAAACAGGAUUAGAUACCCUGGUAGUCCACGCCCUAAACGAUGUCAAUUAGCUGUUGGGCAACUUGAUUGCUUAGUAGCGUAGCUAACGCGUGAAAUUGACCGCCUGGGGAGUACGGUCGCAAGAUUAAAACUCAAAGGAAUUGACGG